GGCAAGAAGAACGGAAUCCAUCACCGCAGCUAGAAAGAGCAUGUUAAAAUUAGUAAAAUUGCAAAGUUUGGUUGCGAAAUGUUGUAAAAUGACGAAAAUAUAGCCCUACGAAAUUUGCAAAUUUUGUAUUAAUUUGUAAUACACACAAAAGUACAUAUACAAAAUUUGCGAACUUCAUGACAGGGCUAUUUACAAACUUUGCAAUUUUACUCAUUUUAACAUGCUCUUUCUAGCUGUGGUAUAAUGGAUUUUGUUCUUCUUGCC